CGCGAAUGGCUCAUUACAACAGCUAUAAUUUACUUGAAUUUGACAACCCUACUUGGAUACCGGUGGUAAUUCUAGCGCUAAUACAUGCACCAAAGCUCCGACCGCGAGGGAAGAGCGCAUUUAUUAGAACAAAACCACACGGCUUCGGCCGUCCAAUGUUGACUCAGAAUAACUAAGCUGAUCGCAUGGUCUUGCACCGGCGACGUUUCUUUCAAGUAUCUGCCUUAACAACUUUCGAUGGUAGUGUAUCUGACUACCAUGGUGAUGACGGGUAACGGAGGAUAAGGGUUCGACUCCGGAGAAGGGGCCUGAGAAAUGGCCACUACGUCUAAGGAUGGCAGCAGGCGCGCAAAUUACCCACUCUCAGUACGAGGAGGUAGUGACGAGAAAUAACAAGACCGUUCUCACAAGAGGCCGGUCAUUGGAAUGGGUACAAUUUAAACCCUUUAACGAGUAUCUAUGAGAGGGCAAGUCUGGUGCCAGCAGCCGCGGUAAUUCCAGCU
rnacentral:rRNA from 1 species